AUGUAUCUAAUCUUCACUUUUACACGGAAAAGAAAUCUAGAUCACAUGAAAGUAAUCAAACUAAACAACACUGUGAUAGAAAUCAAAAAUGAAGUCAAAUAUCUGGGCAUUAUACUAGAUAAAACACUAACGUUUAAGAAACAUAUCAGCUCUAUCAUCACAAAGGCGACACGAGCUUUGAUGGUGUGCAGAAGAAUGGCAGGAAGAAACUG